UAUGAUGUUGCCACUUUUUAAUUUCUUCACUUUCUUGACAGACUAUAGUUUUAAUGACAGAGAACCUUGUAUGCUGGACGUAAACGUCCCGACAGAAGCAAAAUAACUCUGGACGGAGUCUGUCAUCUCGUCAAAGUGAACUGUCAUUCUCAAUAUUCUUCUUGUUUUAUUUUGGCAACACUACGUAGGAAAUGAAUUCCUUCAAUUGACUUUUUAAUUUUUAUGCAUUAAAUCUUGAUACUUGUUACGACCUCAAUAUCUACUACUACAACAUCGAAUAUCUAUCAACGCUAUAAAUGUUUCUCGCCUCGCUUCGAUGUUAGUUUAUAAAAAACUAAAUGCCUAUUACAUAAAGUAAAAUCUUGGGAUCAUUAUUUAUUUUAAGUUAUAAAAUAUUGUAAUAUUCAGUUUUAAUUUAUAAUUUUUAAACUUAUAUUAUGUGGUCGCUGUUAGGCAUUUGUGCCCUAAGUCCUAAACCACUAAAAUUGUUUUUGUUAAAUAUUCUCGUUCUAAAUAAGUUAAAGAACAUAACUGCAUUUAAACUCAGUACGUAAUUUUUAGUGGGUAAGUACACGAAUGCUUUACAAUUAUUAUUGUGAAUCAACUUUAUAAUAAUUACUUAUUUGAUUUGUUAUAGUUUGCCUGACUGUGUACCACUUACAUUCGAAAUUUUUAUAUAUGUAGUUAAAACUACCAAUUUUAAGUUUUAACCUAACAUAAACAUGCUAUUUAUAAUAAGGUUUAAUAUUAUGCAUAGUCAUCGUAGUAAAUAAUGCACUAUUGUGUGCACAUCUUAUAAUAAUAAGAGUGACUUAGUGCUUAUAUUCAACAAGUCCUUAUGUGGUAGAU